rnacentral:lncRNA from 1 species
AACUAAUGAGUUAGUUGCGGGAUGAUGUAUUACAGAACGAGUAAAGAGACUUGCCGGUAACGAGAUUGAACUAGGUAUUGGAUACCGACGAUCGAAUCUCGGGCAAGUAACAUACCGAUGACAAAGGGAACAACGUAUGUUGUUAUGCGGUCUGACCGAUAAAGAUCUUCGUAGAAUAUGUAGGAGCCAAUAUGGGCAUCCAGGUCCCGCUAUUGGUUAUUGACCGGAGACGUGUCUCGGUCAUGUCUACAUUGUUCUCGAACCCGUAGGGUCUGCACGCUUAAGGUUUCGAUGACAGUAAUAUUAUGAGUUUAUGAGUUUUGAUGUACCGAAGGAGUUCGGAGCCCCGGAUGAGAUCGGGGACAUGACGAGGAGUCUCGAAAUGGUCGAGACGUAAAGAUCAAUAUAUUGGACGACUAUAUUCGGACAUCGGAAAGGUUCCGAGUGAUUCGGGUAUUUUUCGGAGUACCGGGUAGUUACGGGAGAAGCAAUGGGCCUUGAUGGGCUUUAGUGGGAAGANNNNNNNNNNNNNNNNNNNNNNNNNNNNNNNNNNNNNNNNNNNNNNNNNNNNNNNNNNNNNNNNNNNNNNNNNNNNNNNNNNNNNNNNNNNNNNNNNNNNNNNNNNNNNNNNNNNNNNNNNNNNNNNNNNNNNNNNNNNNNNNNNNNNNNNNNNNNNNNNNNNNNNNNNNNNNNNNNNNNNNNNNNNNNNNNNNNNNNNNNAUUGGACUAGGGAAAAGGGGGCCGGCCACCUCUCCUUCUCCUCCACUUCCUUCUUCCUUCCUCCCCUCUUGGUGGACUCCUACUAGGACUUGGAGUCCUAGUAGGACUCCACAUCCUGGCCGCACCAAUUGCCUUGGCCGGCCUCCUCCUCCUCCAUACUUUAUAUACUGAGGCAAGGGGCACCCCAUAGAGAAGUUGAUCCACGUGAUCUUAUUCUUAGCCGUGUGCGGCGCCCCCAGCCACCAUAGUCGUCGAUAAUAUUGUAGCGGUGCUUAGGCGAAGCCCUGUAGCAGUAGUGCAUCAAGAUCGUCACCAUGUCGUCGUGCUGAUAGAACUCUUCCCCGACACUUUGCUGGAUCGGAGUCCGGGGAUCGUCACCGAGUUGAACGUGUGCUAGAACUCGGAGGUGCCGUAGUUUCGGUGCUUGAUCGGUUGGGCCGUGAAGACGUACGACUACAUCAACCAAACGCUUCCGUUGUCGAUAUACCAAGGGUACGUAGAUCACACUCUCCCCUCGUUGCUAUGCAUCACCAUGAUCUUGCGUGUGCGUAGGAAAAUUUUUGAAAUUACUACGUUCCCCAACAGUGGUAUCAGAGCCUAGGUUUUAUAUGUUGAUGUUAUAUGCACGAGUAGAACACAAGUGAGUUGUGGGCGAUAUAAGUCAUACUGCCUACCAGCAUGUCAUACUUUGGUUCGGCGGUAUUGUUGGAUGAAGCGGCCCAGACCAACAUUACACGUACGCUUACGCGAGACCGGUUCUCCCGACGUGCUUUGCACAGAGGUGGCUUGUGGGUGACAGUUUCUCCAACUUUAGUUGAACCAAGUGUGGCUACGCCCGGUCCUUGCGAAGGUUAAAAUGGAGUCAAAUUGACAAACUAUCGUUGUGGUUUUGAUGCGUAGGUGAGAUUGGUUCUUACUUAAGCCCGUAGCAGCCACGUAAAACUUGCAACAACAUAGUAGAGGACGUCUAACUUGUUUUUGCAGGGCAUGUUGUGAUGUGAUAUGGUCAAAACGUGAUGAGAUAUAAGUUGUUGUAUGAGAUGAUCAUGUUUUGUUAAAGGUAUCGACAACUGGCAAAAGCCUUAUGGUUGUCUCCAUAUUGCAUAAGAUGCAAGCGCCAAAUAAUUGCUUUACUUUAUCGCUAUGCGAUAGCAAUAGUUGCAAGAGCAAUAGUUGGCGAGAUGACCAUGUGACGACACAUUGAUAUAGAUCAAGAUGAUGGAGAUCAUGGUGUCAUGCCAGUGACGAUAGAGAUCAUGACAGUACUUUGGAGAUGGAGAUCAAAGGCGCAAGAUGAUGAUGGCCAUAUCAUGUCACAUAUUUUGAAUGCAUAUGAUGUUUAUCUUUUAUACAUCUUAUUUUUAGUUUGAUGGUAGCAUUUUAAGAUGAUCUCUCACUAAUUAUCAAGAAGUGUUCUCCCUGAGUAUGCACCAUUGCCAAAGUUCGUCGUGCCCAGACACCACGUGAUGAUCGGGUGUGAUAAGCUCUACGUCCAUCUACAACGGGUGCAAGCCAGUUUUGCACACGCGGAAUACUCAGGUUAAACUUGACGACCCUAGCAUAUGCAGAUAUGGCCUCGGAACACGGAGACCGAAAGGUCGAGCGUGAAUCAUAUAGUAGAUAUGAUCAACAUAGUGAUGUUCACCAUUGAAAACUACUCCAUCUCACGUGAUGAUCGGUUAUGGUUUAGUUGAUAUGGAUCACGUAAUCACUUAGAAGAUUAGAGGGAUGUCUAUCUAAGUGGGAGUUCUUAAGUAAUAUGAUUAAUUGAACUUAAAUUUAUCAUGAACUUAGUCCUGGUAGCAUUUUGCAAAUUAUGUUGUAGAUCAAUAGCUUGCGUUGUUGCUUUCAUAUGUUUAUUUUGAUAUGUUCCUAGAGAAAAAUUGUGUUGAAAGAUGUUAGUAGCAAUGAUGCAGAUUGGAUCCGUGAUCUGAGGUUUAUCCUCAUUGCUGCACAGAAGAAUUAUGUCCUUGAUGCACCGCUAGGUGACAGACCUAUUGCAGGAGCAGAUACAGACGUUAUGAACGUUUGGCUAGCUCAAUAUGAUGACUACUUGAUAGUUUAGUGCACCAUGCUUAACGGCUUAUCGGGACUUCAAAGACGUUUUGAACGUCAUGGACCAUAUGAGAUGUUCCAGGAAUUGAAGUUAAUAUUUCAAGCAAAUACCCGAGUUGAGAGAUAUGAAGUCUCCAACAAGUUCUAUAGCUAAAAGAUGGAGGAGAAUUGCUCAACUAGUGAGCAUGUGCUCAGAUUGUCUGGGUACUACAAUCACUUGAAUCAAGUGGGAGUUAAUCUUCCAGAUAAAAUAGUGAUUGACAGAAUUCUCUAGUCACCAUCACCAAGUUAGUAGAACUUCGUGAUGAACUAUAAUAUGCAAGGGAUGACUAAAGUGAUUCCCAAGCUCUUCGUGAUGUUGAAAUCGACGAAGGUAGAAAUCAAGAAAGAGCAUCAAGUGUUGAUGGUAGACAAGACCACUAGUUUCAAUAAAAGGGCAAAGGGAAGAAGGGGAACUUCAAGAAGAACGGCAAGCAAGUUGCUGCUCAAGUGAAGAAGCCCAAGUCUGGUCCUAAGCCUGAGACUAAGUGUUUCUACUACAAAGGGACUGGUCAUUGGAAGCGGAACUACCCCAAGUGAUUGGCAGAUAAGAAGGAUGGCAAAGUGAACAUAAGUAUAUUUGAUAUACAUGUUAUUGAUGUGUACUUUACUAGUGUUUAUAGCAACCCCUCAGUAUUUGAUACUAGUUCAGUUGCUAAGAUUAGUAACUCGAAACGGGAGUUGUAGAAUAAACAGAGACUAGUUAAGGGAGAAGUGACGAUGUGUGUUGGAAGUGGUUCCAAGAUUGAUAUGAUCAUCAUCGCACACUCCCCUAUACUUUCGGGAUUAGUGUUGAACCUAAAUAAGUGUUAUUUGGUUUUUGCGUUGAGCAUGAAUAUGAUUUGAUCAUGUUUAUUGCAAUUCGGUUAUUCAUUAAAGUCAGAGAAUAAUUGUUGUUCUGUUUACAUGAAUAAAACCUUCGAUGGUCAUACACCCAAUGAAACAAGUUCAUUGGAUCUCGAUCGUAGUGAUACACAUAUUCAUAAUAUUGAAACCAAAAGAUGCGAAGUUAAUAAUGAUAGUGCAACUUAUUUGUAGCACUGCCGUUUAGGUCAUAUUGGUGUAAAGCGCAUGAAGAAACUCCAUGCUGAUGGAAUUUUGGAAUCACUUGAUUAUGAAUCACUUGAUGCUUGCGAACCAUGCCUCAUGGGCAAGAUGACUAAGACUCCGUUCUCCGGAGCGAGCAACUGACUUAUUGGAAAUAAUACAUACUGAUGUAUGCAGUCCGAUGAGUGUUAAGGCUCACGGCAAGUAUCGUUAUUUUCUGAACUUCACAGAUGAUUUGAGCAGAUAUGGGUAUAUCUACUUGAUGAAACAUAAGUCUGAAACAUUUGAAAAGUUCAAAGAAUUUCAGAGUGAAGUGGAAAAUCAUCAUGACAAGAAAAUAAAAUUUCUACGAUCUGAUCGCGGAGACAAAUAUUUGAGUUACGAGUUUGGUCUUCAAUUAAAAAAUGUGGAAUAGUUUCACAAACUCAUGCCACAUGGAACACCACAGCAUAAUGGUGUGUCCGAACGUCAUAACCAUACUUUAUUGGAUAUAGUGCAAUCUAUGAUGUCUCUUACCGAUCUACCACUAUCGUUUUGGGGUUAUGCAUUAGAGACAGCUACAUUCACGUUAAAUAGGGCACCAUCUAAAUCCGUUGAGACGACACCAUGUGAACUAUGGUUUGGCAAGAAACCUAAGCUGCCGUUUCUUAAAGUUUGGUGUUGCGAUGCUUAUAUGAAAAAGUUUCAUCCUGAUAAGCUCAAACUCAAAUCGGAGAAGUGCGUCUUCAUAGGAUAUCCAAAGGAAACUAUUGGAUACACCUUCUAUCACAGAUCCGAAGGCAAGACUUUUGUUGCUAAAUUCGGAAACUUUCUGGAGAAAGAGUUUCUCUCGAAAGAAGUGAGUGGGAGGAAAGUAGAACUUGACAAGGUAACUGUACCUGCUCCCUUAUUGGAAAGUAGUACAUCACAGAAAACUGUUUCUGUGACACCUACACCAGUUAGUGAGGAAGCUAAUGAUGAUGAUCAUGAAACUUCAAAACAAGAUACUACUGAACCUCGUAGAUCAACCAGAGUAAGAUCCGCGCCAGAGUGGUAUGGUAAUCCUGUUCUGGAAGUCAUGCUACUAGAUCAUGAUGAACCUACGAACUAUGAAGAAGCGAUGGUGAGCCCAGAUUCCGCAAAGUGGCUUGAAGCCAUGAAAUCUGAGAUAUGAUCCAUGUAUAAGAACAAAGUAUGGACUUUGGUUGACUUGCCCGAUGAUCGGCAAGUCAUAGAAAAUAAAUGGAUCUUCAAGAGGAAGACGGACGCUGAUAGUAGUGUUACUAUCUACAAAGCUAGAAUUGUCGCAAAAGGUUUUCGACAAGUUCAAGGUGUUGACUACGAUGAGAUUUUCUCACUCGUAUCUAUGCUUAAGUCUGUCCGAAUCAUGUUAGCAAUUGCCGCAUUUUAUGAAAUCUGGCAAAUGGAUAAACAAAACUGCAUUCCUUAAUGGAUUUACUAAAGAAGAGUUGUAUACGAUGCAACUAGAAGGUUUUGUCGAUCCUAAAGGUGUUAACUAAAUAUGCAAGCUCCAGCGAUCCAUCUAUGGACUGGUGCAAGAAUCUCGGAGUUGGAAUAUACGCUUUGAUAAGUUGAUCAAAGCAUAUAGUUUUAUACAGACUUGCGGUGAAGCCUGUAUUUACAAGAAAGUGAGUGGGAGCACUACAACAUUUCUGAUAAGUAUAUGUGAAUGACAUAUUGUUGAUCGAAAAUAAUGUAGAAUUAUUCUGCAAAGCAUAAAGGAGUGUUUGAAAGGAGUUUUUCAAAGAAAGACCUCGGUGAAGCUGCUUACAUAUUGAGUAUCAAGAUCUAUAGAGAUAGAUCAAGACACUUGAUAAGUUUUUUCAAUGAGUACAUACCUUGACAAGAUUUUGAAGUAGUUCAAAAUGGAACAGUCAAAGAAAAGGUUUCUUGCCUGUGUUACAAGGUGUGAAGUUGAGUAAGACUCAAAGCCCGACCACGGCAGAAGAUAGAAAGAGAAUGAAAGUCAUUCCCUAUGCCUCAGUCAUAGGUUCUAUAAAGUAUGCCAUGCUGUAUACCAGAUCUAUUGUAUGCCCUACCACUGAGUUUGGCAAGGGAGUACGAUAGUGAUCUAGGAGUAGAUCACUGGACAGCGGUCAAAAUUAUCCUUAGUGGAAUAAGGAUAUGUUUCUCGAUUAUGGAAGUGAAAAAAAAAGGUUCAUCGUAAAGGGUUACGCCGAUGCAAGUUUUGACACUAAUCUAGAUGACUCUAAGUCUCGGUCUAGAUACAUAUUGAAAGUGGGAGCAAUUAGCUAGAGUAGCUCCAUGCAGAGCAUUGUUGACAUAGAAAUUUGCAAAAUACAUGCGGAUCUGAAUGUGGCAGACCCGUUGACUAAGAUUCUCUCACAAGCAAAACAUGAUCACACCUUAGUACUCCUUGGGUGUUAAUCACAUAGCGAUGUGAACUAGAUUACUGAAUCUAGUAAACCCUUUGGGUGUUGGUCACAUGGCGAUGUGAACUAUGGGUGUUAAUCACAUGAUGAUGUGAACUAUCGAUGUUAAUCACAUGGUGAUGUGAUCUAGAUUAUUGACUCUAGUGCUAGUGGGAGACUGAAGGAAAUAUGCCCUAGAGGCAAUAAUAAAGUUAUUAUUUAUUUCCUUAUUUCAUGAUAAAUGUUUAUUAUUCAUGCUAGAAUUGUAUUAACAGGAAACAUAAUACAUGUGUGAAUACAUAGACAAACAGAGUGUCACUAGUAUGCCUCUACUUGACUAGCUCGUUAAUCAAAGAUGGUUAUGUUUCCUAACCAUGGACAAAGAGUUGUUAUUUGAUUAACGGGAUCACAUCAUUAGGUGAAUGAUCUGAUUGACAUGACCCAUUCCAUUAGCUUAGCACCUGAUCGUUUAGUAUGUUGCUAUUGCUUUCUUCAUGACUUAUACAUGUUCCUAUGACUAUGAGAUUAUGCAACUCCCGUUUGCCAGAGGAACACUUUGUGUGCUACCAAACGUCACAACGUAACUGGGUGAUUAUAAAGGAGCUCUACAGGUGUCUCCAAAGGUACAUGUUGGGUUGGCGUAUUUCGAGAUUAGGAUUUGUCACUCCGAUUGUUGGAGAGGUAUCUCUGGGCCCUCUCGGUAAUGCACAUCACUUAAGCCUUGCAAGCAUUGCAACUAAUGAGUUAGUUGCGGGAUGAUGUAUUACAGAACGAGUAAAGAGACUUGCCGGUAACGAGAUUGAACUAGGUAUUGGAUACCGACGAUCGAAUCUCGGGCAAGUAACAUACCGAUGACAAAGGGAACAACGUAUGUUGUUAUGCGGUCUGACCGACAAAGAUCUUCGUAGAAUAUGUAGGAGCCAAUAUGGGCAUCCAGGUCCCGCUAUUGGUUAUUG